rnacentral:rRNA from 1 species
CACGUAGGGUGCGAGCGUUGUCCGGAAUUAUUGGGCGUAAAGAGCUCGUAGGCGGUUUGUUGCGUCGGCCGUGAAAACUUGGGGCUUAACUCCAAGCUUGCGGUCGAUACGGGCAGACUUGAGUUCGGCAGGGGAGACUGGAAUUCCUGGUGUAGCGGUGAAAUGCGCAGAUAUCAGGAGGAACACCGGUGGCGAAGGCGGGUCUCUGGGCCGAUACUGACGCUGAGGAGCGAAAGCGUGGGGAGCGAACAGG